rnacentral:rRNA from 1 species
AGAGUUUGAUCCUGGCUCAGAUUGAACGCUGGCGGCAUGCUUUACACAUGCAAGUCGAACGGCAGCACGGGAGCUUGCUCCUGGUGGCGAGUGGCGAACGGGUGAGUAAUGCAUCGGAACGUAUCCAAUAAUGGGGGAUAACGCAGCGAAAGCUGUGCUAAUACCGCAUACGCCCUGAGGGGGAAAGUGGGGGACCGCAAGGCCUCACGUUAAUGGAGCGGCCGAUGUCAGAUUAGCUAGUUGGUGAGGUAAGGGCUCACCAAGGCGACGAUCUGUAGCUGGUCUGAGAGGAUGAUCAGCCACACUGGAACUGAGACACGGUCCAGACUCCUACGGGAGGCAGCAGUGGGGAAUUUUGGACAAUGGGGGCAACCCUGAUAGCAGCCAUGCCGCGUGAGUGAAGAAGGCCUUCGGG